rnacentral:misc_RNA from 1 species
GUGGGAGGGGGCUUGCUCCCGAUAGCAGUGUGUCAGUCACUGCUAUGGCUACUGACACACUGCAAUCGGGGGCAAGCCCCCUCCCAC